rnacentral:tRNA from 1 species
GGCCUCGUAGCUCAGCUGGUAGGGCAUGCGCGUACAAAGCGUAGGCGGUGUCCAUGCCUGGGUUCGAAUCCCACCGAGGCUA